rnacentral:rRNA from 1 species
UACGUAGGUGGCAAGCGUUUGUCCGGAUUUACUGGGCGUAAAGAGCGCGCAGGCGGUCGUUCAAGUCGCGUGUGAAAGCCCCCCGGCUCAACUGGGGAGGGUCACGCGAUACUGAUCGACUCGAAGGCAGGAGAGGGUAGUGGAAUUCCCGGUGUAGUGGUGAAAUGCGUAGAUAUCGGGAGGAACACCAGUGGCGAAGGCGACUACCUGGCCUGUUCUUGACGCUGAGGCGCGAAAGCUAGGGGAGCAAACGGG